rnacentral:lncRNA from 1 species
AUCCGGGCUGUGAACUCAAGGAGUCCGGUGUCUGGGUAUCUCCGGAUCGCAGCGAGAGCGGCUAGCAGAGGUUCGCGACCCCUCCCGGUGUAAUUCUGAGAGGAGAAUGUGAGCGAUGCCGGUGCCCAGGAAUUACUGCAUCAAAAGACGUUUCGGGCUAGCGCUCUUUAUGGAUCCUGUGAUAUCUCUUUUGUUACAAUUAAUAAGCAUUUGAAAAUGUUUUUAAUUAGAUUCUCUAACUUUCCCAAAAUUAUCCAACUCAGGAUCACUCCAGAGAAACCAUAGCCAAGUUUUAACCAAAAGAGCUAGUCAUAAAUAAAAAUUUUCAAAGCAACAUUAUUUUUUAAAAAUCCUUUCAAAAAAUCAAUAGCUGGCCCGGCGCGGUGGCUCACGCCCAUAAUUCCAGCACUUUGGGAGACCGAGGCAGGCGGAUCACCGUAGGUCAGGAGUCGAGACCAGCCUGGUCAACAUGGUGAAAUUCCCCCACCCGCACCCCCCGUCUCUACUGAAAAUACAAAAAUUAGCUGGGCAUGGUGGCUCACGCCUGUAAUCCCAGAUACUCGGGAGGCUGAGGCACGAGUAUCGCCUGAACCCGGGAGGUGAAGGUUGCAUGCACCGAGAUCGUGCCACUGCACUCUAGCCUGGGCAACAGAGCAAGCUCCGUCUCAAUACAUACAUACACACACACACACACACACACACACACACACACACACACAACCAAAGAAAAUAAAUAACUGCUGGUCACGGUGGC